UGCCCAGCAACUCCUAUCCCUACCUUCUCGUGGUUCCGGCCGGAAACUAUGGGCAACCUUAGGGAAAAUCGGAUAACCUACCCCGGUGGUAACUUUGGUCGUAGGCCGACAGGGAAUAGG
rfam:Aedes albopictus isolate Foshan contig52131, whole genome shotgun sequence.